CACCAAUCCCUCGCACGCCUCCUCCUCUCCCAAAUCCCCAAUCCCGUCGCCCGGUUCCUCCUCCCCAAUCCCAGGCCUCGCACCGCGCCCCAUUCCCCGACGCUCCUCUCCAUCGGCGGCAUCCGCUGCUUCGCGCCGCUACCCCGUCGUCAUUGCUAGGGCCGCCUCCCCUUCCCGCCCCUUCCUUCCUCAGCGCACGUCGUCGUCCCCACCCCGACGCUCGCCGUCAUAGCCUUCUUCGUCGAGUCAGCGCUCGAGGACGCGGAGCAGAAGCCCUCCAUAGGGGCGCUCGUGCUGGAGACGGCGGCGAGGUGAGCACGAAGGAGUUGCAGCCUUGAGGCACCUCCACCUCGCGCCCCACCCCAUCUCUCACCCAAUCUCCUCCCUCUCCACUCCACAUCGUGGUAGAGCCGCCGCCACCACGCCAUAUCCUCGUCGAGCCACCACCCCAUGUAGUGGUCGACCUUGUCGCGUUGCCGUCGCCGUCGCCUGGAGGGAGCAUAGGCGGCCGCUCGCACCACCACCGCGGGAUGUCGCCAUUACCGGGAGGAGGUUUGCGGAGGGGAAUCGGCAGAUUGAUGCGGGGGAUUGAGCAAAGAGUGAACGAGGGUGGCCUCGGGCCGCCAGCGAGCUCGCCCUCUCGUCCUCAUGGGGGACGCUGUCGUCCGGGCAACGUCUUCCUGUGCGGUCUCCGGCUCUAUCGGGAGAUUUAGGAUGACGGUCUACGCGGCCUUCGCUCUUCGGUACUGUCGGGAGAUUGAGGCGGACGGUCUACGCGGCCUCCGGCACUGUCGGGAGAUUGGGGAGGAUGGUCGUCCAGCUCAGAGAUCCGGCCUCCUCAUCUCCAUCCACAUCACCAGGACGCGCACCUGUAGCUUGACCCUUACACCGUCCUCUGAAGUGCUUCUCCCAGAUAUGGCUCAACACUGUUGAUUCAACAGGGCUUGGUGAUGCGGCUCCGGCACAGGCUGUAUGGCCUUGUUUUCCAAGAUUGAUAUGUCAUCGGAGAUGGUACAUCUGAUGAGUAUUAGGAUGGUGUUGUGCGAGUCUUUUUAAUUUUUUCCUCCUGAGUACUGUACAAAUAUGAGAGAUAUUCAUGCAUCUCAUAUUGUGGAAGAAUACCUUGAUUCGCUGACUAGAUGAGCAAGGUAACCAAGCUGAGGAGAGACCUGUUGAUUUGGACUUGCGGGAGCGUGUCUCAGAUGGCUACAUUAUCGGGGUUUUCGGAUUUCCUCUUCAUAUGUUAUUCUAUAGUCGAGCUGAUUGAAGUGUACUGUUGCAACUUGUGUGUAUGUGUUUACCAAUGCUGCAGUAGGUAAAUGAAUUUUAAUGGGCAUACACAUUAGAAGAAAUCAAUGUGUUUCACGAUGAAAUAUGAUUUACAAGUGCAUGAGGAAGGACAUUUUCUUUGAA